rnacentral:rRNA from 1 species
GACGAAUGCUGGCUGCGUGCUUAACGCAUGCAAGUCGAACGGUGAAAGGGAGCUUGCUCCCUGGAUCAGUGGCGAACGGGUGAGUAACACGUGGGCAACCUGCCCCUCACUCUGGGAUAACUCCGGGAAACCGGGGCUAAUACCGGAUACGACCUGGUGCGACAUCGCACCGGGUGGAAAGAACUUCGGUGAGGGAUGGGCCCGCGGCCUAUCAGCUUGUUGGGGGGGUAACGGCCCACCAAGGCGACGACGGGUAGCCGGCCUGAGAGGGCGACCGGCCACACUGGGACUGAGACACGGCCCAGACUCCUACGGGAGGCAGCAGUGGGGAAUAUUGCGCAAUGGGCGAAAGCCUGACGCAGCGACGCAGCGUGAGGGACGAAGGCCUUCGGGUUGUAAACCUCUUUCAGCGGGGACGAAGCGAAAGUGACGGUACCCGCAGAAGAAGCACCGGCUAACUACGUGCCAGCAGCCGCCGUAACAC